GCUUUCAAAAUUCAGGUUAUCUCAAGUCAAAACCAACAAUACUAGUGCUUUGAAAGAUUCUGAAUGUUUCCUUAGUAAGAGUUUUAGUCAUCUUGUUUGCAAAUUUCUAGGAGGUGGCUUGAGUUUCCUCUUUAAUUAUUCUUUUUUUUAAAAAGAAAAAUCUAAAACCUACAUUUUGAAUUUAGUAACACAGAAAGACUUAAGGUCUUUUGAAAAUGAUUAGCAGACUCAUCAUGAGAGAAAGCAAGUGCAGCUAAGAGGUGUACUCAUUUCGUUCUCUCCAGGUUUAAAGAAACUGUUAACAAAUGGAAGGAAUGGAGAGAGAAGUGGGAAGAAUGAAAGAAACUUACCAAACAGAUUGGGCCCAGAAGCCCUGAAGAGACUUUCGUGAACUGGCCAGCUAUUCCCCAGGAUAAUUGGGUUUACUCAUACCUUAAUAGAAAAAUAGGCAAAAUACAUAGAAAGACACUUCACACAAGAGGAUAUCUGAAUAUUCAACAUCAUCAGAAAUCAAGAAAUACCAAUUAAAAAGCCUCAACGAGAUACUGCUUCACACAUACUAGACUUAUAAGAUUAAGACUGACAAUACCAUGUGUUGGUAAGAUGUGAAGUGAUGGUAACUCUCCCACUUUGCUGGUGGGCAUAUAAAUUGGUAUAACCUCUUUAGAAAGUGGUUUAAUUCUUAUCUAUUAAAAUUGAAUAUAUGUUAUCCCAUAUGAUACAGCUACUCAACAGAAAUGUGUACAUAUAUACACCAUAAUUAAUGUACAAAGGUAUUCACAGCAACCUUAUUCAUGAGGCUGUAAACUGUAAGCAAUCUAAGUAUACAUCAGCAAUAGAAUAGAUGAGUAAACAAAUGAUUGUGGUAUUCAUAUAUAGGAAAAUAUGGUACAGCAUUAAAAAUUAAUGACCACAGCUAUGUGUGACACCGUGGAUGAAUUUCCCAAACACAAUUUUAAGUGAAAGAAUUUAGGUGCCAAGAAUACAUACUGUGUCAUUCAACUUAAGUUUUCAAAAGGCAAUGCUAAUCUAUGAUAACAGUAGUAAGAACAGUGGCUACACUUGCAUAGGAGAGAAGGACUAAUGAUGCAGAGAGCAUAAGCUGGAAUUUCCGCGUGCUAAUUAUGUUCCAUUUAAUUUGGGUGAUGGUUACAUGGGUGUGUUUAUUUUAUGAUAAUUGAUUGAGCUGGCACUUAUGAUUUAUGUUCCUAACUGUGCUUUAAAAUAUGUUGAUGUAUACGUAUGUAUACAAGCAAAUAUAGAAUUUUACCUUUAAUCUGCCUGCUAUUUAAUUAC
rnacentral:lncRNA from 1 species